UUAUAUUGGAAAAAGCUAUUUUUUACAUUCAACUUGACAUCUACAUAUCUAAAAAAUAGAAGAAUUAGUAUUAACCUCAGAUAAACACACAUAGAUCGAAAAUUCUCCUAUCAAAGACCUAACUCAGUUGUCAAGAACAUAAUUGGUGCGAAUGUAUUAAUAAAAAACAUGUGAAAAAAGUCAAAAUUGAACAGCUUUAAUAUAUCCUGUGAGCAUGCCUGAGGAUGACUGAAUAUUAAAUUAAUGAAUUUAAAAUGUUAAAAACUUAUAUAUAAAUUAUUGUUUAAAAAAGUUGCAAUUGUAUGAACAUUAAAAAAAGAAUAAAGUUUUUUGUGUUUUAAAUAGCUAGAAAA